AUUUUUUCUCACCAGAAUAUUCUUCUCUUGUCUUGCCCAGGAGUUGAAUUUGCAGGAAAGGACUCAGAAGGAGCUGCAGCCUCCCCAGUUUCCUUCUGCAGUGAAAGCUGCCUGAGCUGAGGCUGCUUUGGCCUGCAUUAAUAUUUACAGACCUGGUUUAUGGAUCUGAGGAUUGAUUUAGCACGAGAGUAAUGCAGGGGAGCAGAUGAACCAUGGGAAUGGUGAGCUCUGCUUUGCUGAGAUUCAUAAAUCCAAAAGCCACGCUGAGGUGAAGAGCUUUCAGAGGAGCAGCACCUAAUGGCUGAGAAUCACUGGAUGUCUCAAGUCUUAAACAAGUUGGAAACUCAUCUUUCACAGCUGAAUCUCUGCUGGAGCUCUGAGCAGUUCUGAGGCCGUGGUGUCCCCUUGGAUGAAGGAGGAAACACCAACAGGGAUCAAGAGUAGCUUGAACAUCUCAUCAACCAGAGAAAUCCCAUCUAGAGGUUUGCAAACACAGCUCAGUUUCUCUGCCAGCUCACCCCUCGACCUUGUGCUGAGAGUGACAUUAUAGCACCAGCUCUGGUGACCGUUUGGGAUGUGGAUAUUUAUCCACUGCAGCUCUGGACCAAGCCCAUCAGUUCCCUGCAUGCAGAGGAUGGAAUGAGCCACUGGGCAGCUCUGACUCCCAGCCCUGGCUGGCCGGGGUCAGCCGGGAGCCAGUGCCCUUUCCAUGGAUGACACCAUGGCCUGUCACAGAGCUCUCAUUUAAAAUACUCCUCUCAAAUAGAUAAAGAUACACCCUAAUCACUAAUCAAAGAGCAGCUUUAGUGCCUCAAAAAUGUGGAGCAAGCUGCAGGCAUCAGAAUAAAUUACAACUGGAUUGAGCA
rnacentral:lncRNA from 1 species